rnacentral:rRNA from 1 species
UGGGUGGUAAAUUUCACCUAAGGCUAAAUAUAUGCAAGAGACCGAUAGCGAACAAGUACCGUGAGGGAAAGAUGAAAAGAACUUUGAAAAGAGAGUUAAACAGUACGUGAGAUUGUUGAAAGGGAAACGAUUGAAGUCAGUCAUGCUGGUGAGGAAUCAACUUGGUGGUUUACUUCCUCGUGCAUUUUCUCGCUUGCCAGGUUAGCAUCAAUUUUGGUUGUCAUCAAAGGAUUGGGGGAAUGUGGCUUUUCUUCGGUAAAGUGUUAUAGACCCUGAUUGAUGUGACGACCGGGAUUGAGGUUUGCAGCGGAUGCCUUUUGGCUAGUCACCUGUCUUCUGACCGUCACCUCGCUCUUGACAGCUUGCUGAUGAUUGUGGGAUUUGGCGACCUAGAAGUUAGAGUGAACAUAAAUUCGCUAAGGAUGCUGACGUAAUGGCUUUAAACGACCCGUCUUGAAACACGGACCAAGGAGUCUAACAUAUGUGCGAGUGUUUGGGUGACAAAACCCGGAACGCGUAAUGAAAGUGAUUCUGGUGGGAACCCCUCGGGGUGCACCAUCGACC